UACGAAGGGGGCUAGCGUUGCUCGGAAUUACUGGGCGUAAAGGGCGCGUAGGCGGGAUGGCAAGUCGGUCGUGAAAUCCCUCGGCUCAACCGAGGAUCGUCGAUCGAUACUGCCGUUCUUGAGGAUUGCAGAGGAGACUGGAAUUCCCGGUGUAGCGGUGAAAUGUGUAGAGAUCGGGAGGAACACCGGUGGCGAAGGCGGGUCUCUGGGCAAUUCCUGACGCUGAGGCGCGAAAGCGUGGGGAGCAAACGGG
rnacentral:rRNA from 1 species